CGAUCUUUCAUAGGGAAUUUGAAAGACAACCGUUUAUCCCGCCCCUCAGAUUGAGCCCUGCCAAUGGUGAGUUCCCAGACCCAACAUCUGGAUGUAGGUCUGACUUGUCAGGCUACAACUCUAGUUCCCUUGGAAGCGAACCGAGACCCCCAAAAAAAUAUUCACGAUUCACUUCAUACAGUUUAUGGAUCUGUAAAUAAACUUCAUACAGUGUAAUUU